AGUGAACGCUGGCGGUAGGCCUAACACAUGCAAGUCGAACGGCAGCACAGGAAGAUGUUGCUGGUACGGAGUGGGGGUGGCGGGCGGAUGACGUAGGAAUCGGAAUCGACUUUGGCGUGGGGGAUGACGUAGGGAAACUUAUGCCGAUACCGCAUACCGGCUGCGGGCGAAAGCAGGGGAGCUUCGGACCUUUCGCGAUUGAAUGAGGCGAUGUCGGAUUAGCUAGUUGGCGGGGUAAAGGCCCACCAAGGCGACGAUCCGUAGCUGGUCUGAGAGGAGGAUCAGCCACACUGGAACUGAGACACGGUCCAGACUCCUACGGGAGGCAGCAGUGGGGAAUAUUGGACAAUGGGCGAAAGCCUGAUCCAGCCAUGCCGCGUGUGUGAAGAAGGCCUUCGGGUUGUAAAGCACUUUUGUUCGGAAAGAAAAGCAUCAGGUUAAUACCGCGCUGUUAUGACGGUACCCAAAGAAUAAGCACCGGCUAACUUCGUG
rnacentral:rRNA from 1 species